AGGGCCCACCAAGGCGACGAUCAGUAGCCGGCCUGAGAGGGUGGACGGCCACAUUGGGACUGAGACACGGCCCAAACUCCUACGGAAGGCAGCAG
rnacentral:rRNA from 1 species